rnacentral:lncRNA from 1 species
CCCUCCAAUCCUUUAAAAUCGAUCCCAAAUAAUAUAUAUAUCUGACCUGAUUGAACUUGUAAUUAAUAAUUAUAAGUAGUGAAAAGAUUAAUGAAAAGAAUAUCCUUUUACAAAGGUGGAUGUAGAGUAAGGGAAAAACUAAAAUGAGAAAAAAGAAGGGGUAAAAAGUUGAUAAAUGAGAAAUUGGAAUCAUGUGACAAAGUAUUUUAUAAUUAAUAAAAUAAAAAUUAUUUAAACGUUCUACCUGAUCCAUCUUUCUCACUCUGUUUGUCAGCCAUGGAUUUCUUGUUCUUAGCCCCGUUUUCCAUUUUCUGUAUAUGCCUAUCGCCAAUCAUAUUAGGAGGAGGAACAGAAUUAAUUUAUU